AUUUUUAUAACGAGCGCUUAAUGAAAACCUUGGUGAAAAUCUUUGGACGUGACGCUACGAAAAGUUAUGGGGAGGCAUUAGCCUGUGAUCUGUAAAUUUCCAUAUUUAGAGUAAACUUGUUAAAAUAGUUUUAAAAAUAGUGUAAAUUGAACCAUCUAAGUAACACUGAAUAAUAAAUCAACCGAGAAGUCGUAAGUAAUGGUGAAUGAAAACGAUAAAAAAGCUUAAUUAAAAGUUUUUAUUAUAAUUUACGAUAAAAGGUAUAAGUCCUGUAUUAGUAAAAACUUUUAGCAAUAAAAUUUUAAGUAAUAUGAUUUAAAAUUAUAUGAAUAAAAGAGAACCACCUUUUAAGCUUAAAAGAUUUUUCAACCUAUAGUGAACGAGUACCGUGAGGGAAAGGUAAAGAAAUUUGAAAAGAAUUAAUUUAAGUUAAGCGUUUAAAAUUUUUCGGAGUAUAAAACAACGAAAUGCCUUUUGCAUAAUGAAUCAGCAAGUUAAUAGAUAUUGCAAGUUUAAUUAUUAAUAAGUAGACUUUACUAAGUAAUAUCCAUUAAACCUGAAACCAAGUGAGCUAGUUGUAAGCAAGUUGAAAAUACUUUAAAAAGUUUUUGAGGACUGCACUCGUAUAUGUAGCAAAAUAUAGAGAUGACUUAUAGCUAGGAGCGAAAGACUAAUCAAACUUGGAAAUAGCCGGUUUUUCACGAAAUGUAUUUUAGUACUACGUUAAUUAGUUUAAAUCUUGAGUUAGAGUACAAAAUAAAUAAAGGGAUGUAAAAAUUUACUGCAUUUUUUUUAACUCCAAAUUAAAGCUUUUUUAAUUAACAGGCAGUCUAUAAGCGAUAAGGUUUAUAGACGAGAGGAAAACAAUCCAGACCGUAUAUUAAGAUUUCUAAAUUAUAACUUAGGGAAAAAACUAAGAAAUGUUCAAAUAAUAAUUCUGUUAGGCUUAGAAGCAGCCUUUCAUUAGAGAAAGCGUUUUAGCUCAUUAUUCUUCUUUUUUUAGUUUAAAAUGUAUAGAAACUUUAAGUUUUAUAUCGAAAUAGCGGAUUAAUAUAAUAAUGGUAGUGAAACGUUCUGUGAAAAUUUUUUAAUUGGAAAAUUACAAAAAAAUAACAGAAAUGCUAAUGCUGAUAUGAGUAGCGCUAAUUACGUUAAAAAAUCGUAAUCACUGAAUGUUUAAGGGUUUCAAUGUAAUUUUAAAUACAUUGAGUUAGUCGGUCCUUAAGAGGAGAAUGAAAAUUGUACUCGAUAGGAACUUAAUAACCAUAUUAAACUUUUUAUAUGUGUUUUAAAACAUGAAAGAAAUAAUUAUUAAAAUUUUAUAAAUAACUAUUUAAAAUAAGGUAAUGAAAUAAAUAUAAAUUAUUUCCGAGAAAAAAUUAUAAAAAACAAACCGUACUUAAACCGACACAGGUAAAUUUAUUGAGAAAAUUAAAAGUGAAUGAAAAAAUUGUAUUGAAGGAACUCGGCAAGUUAACUCUGUAUGUUCGCUAUAAAGAGAGCCCAAGUUUGGGUAGCAUUAAAAGAGAAGUAACGACUGGUUAACAAAACCACAGGACUCUGCAAAUUUGUGAAAAAAAGUAUAGAGUCUGAAGCCUGCCCAGUGCUUAAAAAUAAAGAAACUAAGUUAAAGCUUAAUUUUUAAAUCUAAGUAAACGGCGGUUCUAACUAUAAGAAUCCUUAGGUAGCGAAAUUCCUUGGCGGGUAAAUUCCGUCCUGCAUGAAUGGCGUAACGAUUGCUUCACUGUCUCCAAUACAACUUCAGCGAAAUUACAUUAUCCAUGAAAAUGUGGAUUACUUGCAGUAAGACGGAAAGACCCUAGAUCCUUUACUUUAAUUUUAAAUUGUAAAAAGUUAUUUAUAUGUGAAGAAUAAGUGGGAAUAACUUUUAAUACUCUUGAGAUACCACUCAUUAAAAUUAACUUUUUACUUUAUUUGUAGAUAAUGCUAUAAAAACCGUUUAAAAGAGAAAGUUUACUUGGGACGAGUACCUCCUAAAUAGUAACGGAGGUGUACGAAGGUAAGUAACAAUUAUUUAUUUUAAUAAUGAAGAACAUAAUGGUAUAAGCUUGCCUGACAAUGAGAUUUAUACAUCAAGUUGCGACGAAAGUCAGUCAUAGUGACCCGGUAUUUAAGCGUGGAAUUAAUACCGUUCAACAAAUCAAAGGAACUCUAGGGAUAACAGAUUCAUCGUGAUUGAGAGUUCAUAUUGACGUCACGGUUUGAUACCUCGAUGUCGACUCAUCUUAUCCUGAAAUUGAAGUAGAUUUCAAGGGUCUAGUUGUUCGCUAGUGAAAAAGGUACGUGAGUUGGGUUCAGAACGUCGUGAGACAGUUCGGUCCCUAUCUACUGUAAGACAAGAAAAAUAAAAAGCGUAUUCUUAGUACGAGAGGACCAGAAUACUUUAACCUCUGGUUAAUUGAUUGUUAUACCAAUAGCAUUGUCAAGUAGCUAAGUUAAUUUUUAAUAUGUACUGAACGAAUCAAGUGUACUAAAUAUUCUUUCUUUAUUUUUCCAGAAUAUUCUAAAAGAUUAUUAGAUUGAUCGGUUUGCAAGAAAUUUUUAGUAAUAAAAAUUUUUAAUAUUUACAAAUACGAAUUAUUCAAAAAAAUUUUAAUUU
rnacentral:rRNA from 1 species